AAGCGAAGUUAAUCUUGAAAAAUUGAUUUGCUCAGAAUUUCACGCGCUAUCCAAGCACCGAAGAGAAGCUACAUCUGGCGCAGGAGGCGGGCCUCAACAUGAGGCAGGUUGACGAUUGGUUAAUUAUCGCGAGGCGGCGGUACGACGUUAACGAGUCGCCGUUCGAGCCUCGUUCAUCUGCUACACUGAUUAAACAGUUAAUAAGGGACCAGCCUAUCAACAGCAAUUUAGAGAUGCUGGCCGCCGUCAGUGAAUACAUGCCUAAGCUGUGACGAAUGUGCUGCAGCCCCUCUUCUUGGCCGGCAUAUCUGCGGCCAACUGCAGGCCGAAAAUAAGCCGCCUUCGUGUAUGUAUUAUGAAGAAAAGUGCCACAAUUUUAUACGUUGUACGUGCGUUAUCAAAAUGUAUUCGUAUCUUUAUCUGUGACUGUGAUUUAAU